UACGGGGGGGGUAAGCGUUGUUCGGAAUUACUGGGCGUAAAGGGCUCGUAGGCGGCCAACUAAGUCAUACGUGAAAUCCCCAGGCUUAACCUGGGAACUGCAUCCGAUACUGGAUGGCUUGAAUCCGGGAGAGGGAUGCAGAAUUCCAGGUGUAGCGGUGAAAUGCGUAGAUAUCUGGAGGAAUACCGGUGGCGAAGGCGGCAUCCUGGGCAGAAACUGACGCUGAGGAGCGAAAGCCAGGGGAGCAAACGGG
rnacentral:rRNA from 1 species